rnacentral:rRNA from 1 species
CUUGGAGGAAUGUAUAGCAAUAGCUAUUUGCACUAAUUUUUUUUUAGUGUAAAAUCGACUAUGUUGAAUGAAAUUCUGAGUAGGUUUAUGAUAAUGACAUUACCUGUCUAUAAGUCUUGACCAAAUUACGUGCCAGCAGUCGCGGCAAUACGUAGAAGACAAGUGUUAUUCAUCUUUAAUAGGUUUAAAGGGUACUUAGACGGUAAAUAAAGCCUUUAAAAGGGACUAGUUUGCUAGAGUUUUAUGUGAAGGGGUUUUAAAGUACUACUGGUGUAGAGAUGAAAUUCAGUCAUACCUAAGAUGGCACAGGUUAAGGCGAAAGCAUCUUCUUAUGUAAAAACUGACGUUGAAGGACGAAGGCUUUGUGUCUCGAACAGGAUUAGAUACCCUAGUAGUCUAAGCAGAAAAUGAUGAAUGUCAUAGAUUAGAUAUAAUUUGAUCUAUAAAUGAAAGUGUAAGCAUUCCACCUCAAGAGUAAUUUGGCAACAUUGGAACUGAAAUCAUUAGACCGUUUCUGAAACCAGUAGUGAAGUAUGUUGUUUAAUUUGAUAGUCCGCAAAAAACCUUACCACAAUUUGAAUAGAUAUAAUUUAUCAUACAAGCGUUGCACGGCUGUCUUCAGUUAAUGUCGUGAGACUUUGGUUAGUUCCAUUAAAUUAACGUAAACCCUUACUUUAUUUUUAUAUAAAGUAGUUCACCGCUAUAUUGGAUGUGAUAAUAGGGAUCAAGACAAGUCAUCAUGACCUAAAUAUUGUGGGCUA